UCGGAACAAAAUGCAAUGGCCAAAGUCAAGGCUACAUAUUACCAAAACUCAUAGCUAAUGCAUUGUUAGUGCCAUGCACCACAAUGCAUUUAACCAACGCGCGCCCUGGGAACAAUGGAACAAGACGCACCUGCUCAUGAAUACUCCAUGUGCCCUUCCUCAACAGAACCAACAUCAUGAGAACGUGAGCCUUAAUGCGAACUGCAAAUAAAUAACUGUUUGUUUUUUAAACAAAAUUAAGAUCAAGGACUACCUGCACAUUCUGCAGAGAGCAUUAGACUAAAAGCGAAAAAAGGGUAGUGUCGUGACAUCCUUUGCCGGAGCUCGUUUACUAAUUUUCGCAGCAUUUUUAAUAUACCAAGAUUUUUUGCAUAUAGUAUUUUUGCAGUAUAUUAAUUUGGUAUUAUAUAGUCUUAUUAUCUCACAGUCGAGCAA